rnacentral:rRNA from 1 species
GGGCUUGACAUCCCACGAACCUGCCUGAAAGGGCGGGGUGCCCGUAAGGGAGCGUGGAGACAGGUGGUGCAUGGCUGUCGUCAGCUCGUGUCGUGAGAUGUUGGGUUAAGUCCCGCAACGAGCGCAACCCUCACCCCUAGUUGCCACCGGGUAAAGCCGAGCACUCGAGGGGAACUGCCAGCGUCAAGCUGGAGGAAGGCGGGGAUGACGUCAAGUCAUCAUGCCCCUUACGUCCUGGGCUACACACGUGCUACAAUGGCCGGUACAAAGGGACGCGAGACUGCAAAGUGGAGCUAAUCCCAAAAAACCGGUCUAAGUUCAGAUUGCAGUCUGCAACUCGACUGCAUGAAGGAGGAAUCGCUAGUAAUCGCGCAUCAGCACGGCGCGGUGAAUACGUUCCCGGGCCUUGUACACACCGCCCGUCACACCACGAAAGUCAGCUGUACUCGAAGUCGCUGAG